rnacentral:rRNA from 1 species
CAGUAGCCGCGGGAAUACGUAGGGUGCAAGCGUUAAUCGGAAUUACUGGGCGUAAAGAGCUCGUAGGCGGUUUGUCGCGUCUGCCGUGAAAGUCCAGGGCUCAACCCCGGAUCUGCGGUGGGUACGGGCAGACUAGAGUGAUGUAGGGGAGACUGGAAUUCCUGGUGUAGCGGUGAAAUGCGCAGAUAUCAGGAGGAACACCGAUGGCGAAGGCAGGUCUCUGGGCAUUAACUGACGCUGAGGAGCGAAAGCAUGGGGAGCGAACAGGAUUAGAGACCCCCGUAGUCCCUGUCUCUUAUAC